rnacentral:rRNA from 1 species
GACGAACGCUGGCGGCGUGCUUAACACAUGCAAGUCGAACGGAAAGGCCUGCUUUCCCUUGUGGAUUGCGGGUACUCGAGUGGCGAACGGGUGAGUAACACGUGAGUGAUCUGCCCCCAACUUGGGUAUAAGCCUGGGAAACUGGGUCUAAUUCCCGAUAGGACUGCAGGGUGGUGCCUGUGGUGGAACACGAUUUUCUAGUGGUUGGGGAUGAGCUCGCGGCCUAUCAGCUUGUUGGUGGGGUAAUGGCCUACCAAGGCGGCGACGGGUAGCCGGCCUGAGAGGGUGGACGGCCACAUUGGGACUGAGAUACGGCCCAGACUCCUACGGGAGGCAGCAGUGGGGAAUAUUACACAAUGGGCGGAAGCCUGAUGCAGCGACGCCGCGUGGGGGAUGACGGCCUUCGGGUGGUAAACUCCUUUCGACCGCGGGGAAGCCACCUGGUUGGAAGGGUGGUGACGGUAGUGGUAGAAGAAGCACCGGCUAACUACGUG